AUGGAGGAAGAGAUGUCCUCUCUGAAUGAGCACAAGGUUUUUACACCAGUAGCAGCGCCUGAGGGGGCAAAGAUUGUAGGCUGCAGGUGGAUAAACAAACUAAAAGGUUUGCCAAGCAAUUGUCCAGUAAGUUCAAAGUGAAAGACUUAGGCCCGGUUAGGACAUAUCUAGGGUUGGAAGUGUGCUGGGCCCAAGAUGGCAGCUGCCUAAUUAGUCAGCAGAACAAAGUUAAACAACUACUGACUACAUACAGGAUGCAGGAUUGCAAAGGGGCAGUGGUGCCUAUGGAUCCAGGUUUCAUAAAAACACUUCAUACAGACGAGAGUCCUGAAUUUGAACAUCCUGAUGUAUAUCAUUCUGUAAUUGGAAGUUUAUUGUAUCUAGCACAAUGGUCCAGACCUGAUAUUAGCUAUGCAGUAGGCAUAUUAAGUAGAUUGGUCUCAAAACCCACACUAAAUGCCUGGAAAGGGGUAAAACAAGUUCUGAGAUACCUCAAACAGACAAUUGGCUAUAUGUUACAAUUAAAUUCUUCAGAGGAUGAAAUGUUGAGUUGCUACUGUGAUAGUGACUGGGGAAAUUUGCCGGAUAGAAAAUCUGUCACAGGACUAGUCAUAAUGGUCGGUGGAGCUUUAAUCAGCUGGCGGUCACGCAAGCAAGACGUUGUAAGUGUGUCAUCAACGGAAUCCGAGUACGCCGCAUUGAGUGAAUUGUGCAACGAGGUGAUUUAUUUCAAGCAUUUGUUAACAGAUUUAAAAGUAAAUUGUGGAGAACCAGUACAAGUUUACAUUGAUAAUCAAGCUUGUAUAACCUUAAGUAAAACAGAGGGUUUCAAAUCACGUUCCAAACAUAUCUCUGUAAAAUACCAAAAUGUACGUUGCUGUGUACAAGACAAUGUAAUCACCUGUACUUAUGUAUCAAGUGAAGAAAAUGUAGCAGAUGUGUUAACUAAACCAUUGGCAAAGGUAAAGAACAAACGAAUGUGCAAGGGUUUAGGUUUGCUGGAAAAAUAAUCUCCUACAUAGGUGUAUUUGAUGUUAAUUGUCCAGCAGAAUCUGUGAGGGGGUGUUGAGUUUCUGUUAAUUGGUUCUCAUGGGAAACUUACAGAUUCUGGCUUCACACAAUUAACUCAAGGCAGUGUCAAUUUACUCUUGGCAGAAAGCCAAGGUCAGCUUGACCUAGAAACUACUUACUCUGAUUGGUUAACGACCAGCACUCAACUCUGUUAUCUAGGGAUUGCUAGCACAGUGUGAUGUGAGGUGUGUUAGGUGUGUUAGGAGUAGGAGUGCUGUGUAUGGUCAAGAGAGAGAGAGAAAGAAAGGAUUUAUUUUGCUUUGUUUUGUAUGCAGAAACUCUGCUGGUUUUAUUUUUUCCUUUUAAUAAAUCCUGUAAAUAGUUA